GAUAAAGUGGCUGAAUUUUAGGCGAUAAAUUGUAAAUUUAUUUAUGAUUAAUAUUUAAUCCUUUAUCA
rnacentral:tRNA from 1 species